rnacentral:rRNA from 1 species
UACGGAAGGCAGCGGUGGGGAAUAUUGCACAAUGGGCGCAAGCCUGAUGCAGCCAUGCCGCGUGUAUGAAGAAGGCCUUCGGGUUGUAAAGUACUUUCAGUCGUGAGGAAGGUGUUAAGGUUAAUAACCUUAGCAAUUGACGUUAGCGACAGAAGAAGCACCGGCUAACUCCGUGCCAGCAGCCGCGGUAAUACGGAGGGUGCGAGCGUUAAUCGGAAUUACUGGGCGUAAAGGGCACGCAGGCGGUUAAUUAAGUUGGAUGUGAAAUCCCCGGGCUUAACCUGGGAAUGGCAUUCAAGACUGGUUAGCUAGAGUCUUGUAGAGGGGGUAGAAUUCCAUGUGUAGCGGUGAAAUGCGUAGAGAUGUGGAGGAAUACCGGUGGCGAAGGCGGCCCCUGGACAAAGACUGACGCUCAUGUGCGAAAGCGUGGGGAGCAAACAGGGAUUAGAUACCCGU